rnacentral:lncRNA from 10 species
CAAAUUAGAGAGCCCAUGUAAACAGUAUGGUGCCUGGUACAGGGUGGGUGUUCAAUGAAUGGCAACUAUCAUUAUUAUUCACCCAGCACAUUAUGUUCCUGAAAACCAGGAACUGCUUCCUGUCUGACCCACUGCAGUGGUGGAGAGGAUCAAGGGAAAUAAUGAUCAUGGAUGUGCUUAGGAGACGUAAGAUUUUACUAAGAAUUGCUGUGAGCUGGGCACCCUUCUACGCUCUGCAGACACCAUGGCUAGUAAGACAGGCAAAGACCUGCCAUCUGGAGCUUGUUUGGAUAUAGGGUAGGGGGACGGGGAGAAGGGAG